UACGUAGGGGGCUAGCGUUGUCCGGAAUCAUUGGGCGUAAAGAGCGUGUAGGCGGCCCGGUAAGUCCGCUGUGAAAGUCGGGGGCUCAACCCUCGAAUGCCGGUGGAUACUGUCGGGCUAGAGUGCGGAAGAGGCGAGUGGAAUUCCUGGUGUAGCGGUGAAAUGCGCAGAUAUCAGGAAGAACACCGGUGGCUAAGGCGGUUCUCUAGUACGGUACUGACGCUGAGACGCGAAAGCGUGGGGAGCGAACAGG
rnacentral:rRNA from 1 species